rnacentral:rRNA from 1 species
CCUACGGGUGGCAGCAGUGAGGAAUAUUGGUCAAUGGGCGCUAGCCUGAACCAGCCAAGUAGCGUGAAGGAUGACUGCCCUAUGGGUUGUAAACUUCUUUUAUAUGGGAAUAAAGUGUAGUAUGUAUACUUCUUUGCAUGUACCUUAUGAAUAAGGAUCGGCUAACUCCGUGCCAUCAGCCGCGGUAAUACGGAGGAUCCGAGCGUUAUCCGGAUUUAUUGGGGUUAAAGGGAGCGUAGGCGGGUUGUUAAGUCAGAUGUGAAAGUCUGGGGCUCAACCGGAAAAUUGCAGUUGAUACUGGCAUCCUUGAGUAUAGUAGAGGGAGGUAGAAUUCGAGGUGUAGCGGUGAAAUGCGUAGAGAUCACGAGGAAUACCGAUUGCGAAGGCAGCCUGCUGGACGGUGACUGACGCUGAUGUUCGAAAGUGUGGGGAUCAAACAGGAUUAGAUACCCCAGUAGUC